UUAAUGGAGUUUUUAGACUCCACAAACAGAGUUAUAAAGUUGACA
rfam:Gossypium raimondii chromosome 3, whole genome shotgun sequence.